GCAUAAAGACAGCUAACUAGCAAGACUGGUUUUACACUAAUUACGUGUGAAAAACAGAACAAGUACAGUUGUAUGUCUUAUAUCGAUGGAAGCAAAUCAAGGAUGCUAAUUGCCAAAUCCAACGUUUGAAUUUAUCAAGAAGUUACUACAACUAAACAACUGUUGGUCUUAUAAUGGGUUUAAAUGUAAGCUUACUCUUAUAGCGGUAGCUAUACAUACGGUUAUGAAUGCUAUACAUACGGUUAUGAAUACAUGGAGUGGAGCUGGUAACGGAAUAAAGUUCAGACAACUGAAUUUCAAUAUUCAAAAGAAAAAUUGAGAGCAAUGAGCGAGGCUAGUACAUGUAGGCUUCCCUUUAGAUGACCCUUUAUUUGAUACUUUGAUACAAUAGAGUGGUUUUCUAUUUACACAAUCACACACAUAUAUAGUUAUGGAGUAGUACUGUUGAUUUACCUGGAAGACAAUAGAGAGUAAAAAGGAGGUAUUGAUGUUGAUUAGACAAAUCGUAGAAGUGCUUAUGAUCUGUUUCAGCUUUUUUUCCUUCUUGUUUUCUAAUUAUUUUGUCUUUUCUUCAGGACUUAUAGUGGGUAAGCAAGCAUUUAGCACCAUCCAACAGGCGCAUCCAAGGUAGGACCAUUAAUGGACUCAGUAAUGGCCCUAUAAAAAGGCCUAGUAACAGAAUCAACAAUAAUUAUCAUUUUUAAACACUAGUAACCACAAAAGGUAAUUUCCACAAGAAAAGAACACAGUAACAUUAGUACAUUACUGCUUUGGAAAAGAACUGUUCCCAUCUGCACAUUGGUUUGGUUUGAUUCUGUCUAUGGUUCGAUUCGACCAUAACUUGUACUUGUGAAGCUACAGGAAAGAGAUGGGAGAAUCUAAGAGCUAUACUUGAUCUUUUAAAGACUUUGUUUAUUUUACCCAUCGUCUUUACUCUUCUUUACAGCUUCUAAGCUCCAGCUGCUGGUAAAUUACCAACUUAGUUUUUAUUAAUUUUUUUAUAAAUUUUUGAUCAGCAGUGAUUGAUUUGGGUGCUUUUUUUUUUCUGCUCACUCACUUUCCUAGUCAUCAGUUUAGUUCUAGUUGGUAAUUAAAUUGAUAGUUAACUUACUCUAUAUUCUUCUUAUGAACUCGCUGUUGAGUUUGAUGCCAUAUUUGCUGUAAAUGGAAACCAGGUUCGUUGGUUAAGCACAUGUCCUCGGUCGAUCAACUUAAUAGCAACAUCAUCAAAAUCACUCCUCCCUUAUCCCACUACAGCAGGGGAAGAUUGGUGGCUGGAUCAUUUCAAGGUAAAACGGGACAUGCUGAUGGAAAACAUAGUGAGGCUCGUUUUAAUCAUCCUAAAAGGAGUCACAGUGGAAUGUUUAUGUCGCUGAUACUUCGUGGAAUGUUUAUGUCGCUGAUACUUCGAACCUAGCCAUAAUUGGAGGGAGAUUCAGGUGUCAUUACUAUAGCUGGAGGGAAAUCAUAUGUAGCUAGGUUGUAGAGAUGGACUAUGCUCAGUUCUAUGCCUCGGAAGAGGGAUCAAGGCGUCGCCAUAGAGAUAAAACAACCGAGACAUAACCAAAGACAGCAGCAUCAGAUACGGUGAAGCCUGUAGAGUACAGUAUAAUAAUGAAGGAUUGUUGAUUUGUUUCAUACUCUAAUUUGCUUUUUGUUGCUGUUAAAGAAUUUUCUCUCUAUGUGUUUCUUUUUAAAUCCACAGCUUUUCUUCCAAAAUAUAAAUCUAAUCACCAGAAGGAAAAGAUGACUCCCUUUGGUAAGAAUAUCUGUGGCUGAUUGUUUCCUGCUAUU